UCGCAAACUUUUUUAUCGAUAGGAACUCUCCAAAAAAAUUACGCUGUUAUCCCUAAGGUAAAUUAAUCUUAUAAUCAAAAAUUUUAGAUCAAAAGAACAUUAAUUUAUGAAUAAAAAAGUAAAAGUUAAAAAAAUUUUACUGUCGCCCCAACAGAAUUUAUUAUUCUAUAUAUUUAUUAUAUUAACAAAAAAUUAAUAUAUAUAUAAUAAAUUAAUUUCUAUAGGGUCUUCUCGUCCUAUAUAAAAAUCUUAGCUUUUUAACUAAAAUAUUAAAUUCAUAUAAAUUAUUUAAAGAAAGUUAAUUUUUCAUCAAACCAUUCAUACUAGCCUCCAAUUAAAAGGCAAAUGAUUAUGCUACCUUAGUACAGUUAAAAUACCGCAGCCUUUUAAUUAUUCAAAAUCAAUGGGCAGGCCUGAUUUUAAAUUAAACUCAAAAAACC
rnacentral:rRNA from 1 species